CGGGGUUUAGCGCAGUCCGGUAGCGCGCCUGCUUUGGGAGCAGGAAGCCGCAGGUUCGAAUCCUGCAACCCCGA
rnacentral:tRNA from 1 species